rnacentral:tRNA from 92 species
GGUGAGAUUCCCGAGCGGUCAAAGGGGGCGGACUGUAACUCCGCUACGAAAGUUUCGAAGGUUCGAAUCCUUCUCUCACCACCA